GAGGGUGUCAGCUACGAGCUGGACAUACUGUGAAGGAAAGGUUAAAAGAACCCCGGGAGGGGAGUGAAAUAGAUCCUGAAACCGCAUACAUACAAACAGUAGGAGCCUCGUUAAGGGGUGACUGCGUACCUUUUGCAUAAUGGGUCAGCGACUUACGUUUAAUGGCGAGCUUAACCGUAUAGGGGAGGCGUAGCGAAAGCGAGUUCGAACAGAGCGUUCAGUCGUUAGGCGUAGACCCGAAACCAGAUGAUCUAUCCAUGGCCAGGUUGAAGGUGUGGUAACACACACUGGAGGACCGAACCGACUAGUGUUGCAAAAUUAGCGGAUGAGCUGUGGAUAGGGGUGAAAGGCUAAACAAAUCUGGAGAUAGCUGGUUCUCCCCGAAAACUAUUGAGGUAGUGCCUCGUGUAUGACUCCAGGGGGUAGAGCACUGUUAUGGCUAGGGGGACAUGGCGUCUUACCAAACCAUGGCAAACUCCGAAUACUUGGAAGUUUGAGCACGGGAGACAGAGCACCGGGUGCUAACGUCCGGACUCAAGAGGGAAACAACCCAGACCGCCGGCUAAGGUCCCUAAUAUUGACUAAGUGGAAAACGAAGUGGAAAGGCUAAGACAGUCAGGAAGUUGGCUUAGAAGCAGCCAUCCUUCAAAGAAAGCGUAAUAGCUCACUGAUCGAGUCUUUCUGCGCGGAAGAUGUAACGGGGCUAAGUCAAUAACCGAAGCCGCGGAUUCACACUUAUGUGUGAGUGGUAGGGGAGCGUUCUGUAAGCCUGCGAAGGUGACUCGUAAGGGUUGCUGGAGGUAUCAGAAGUGCGAAUGCUGACAUGAGUAACGUUAAAGCGGGUGAAAAGCCCGCUCGCCGUAAGCCCAAGGUUUCCUGCUCUACGUUCAUCGGAGCAGGGUGAGUCGGCCCCUAAGGUGAGGCUGAGAAGCGUAACUGAUGGGAACAAGGUUAAUAUUCCUUGACCACCGCUGAAUGCGAAGGGGGGACGGAGUAUUGAAGAUCAUCCGGGUGUUGGAUAUCCCGGUUUGCGAGCGUAGGAGGCUGACAGGCAAAUCCGUCAGCGAAUCUCCGAGGCAAAGCAUCGAGCUCUCUUUUGAGCGAAGUGAUUGGAUGUGCUUCCAGGAAAAGCCUCUAAGCUCCAGUUCAGCGGGACCGUACCGCAAACCGACACUGGUGGGCGAGCUGAAUAUGCUCAGGCGCUUGAGAGAACUCAGGAGAAGGAACUCGGCAAAUUGACACCGUAACUUCGGGAUAAGGUGUGCCUUUGUAGCGUGGAGGGAGAAACACCCCGAGCGCGAAGAGGUCUCAGAUAAUCGGUGGCUGCGACUGUUUAUUAAAAACACAGCACUCUGCAAAGACGAAAGUCGACGUAUAGGGUGUGAUGCCUGCCCGGUGCUGGAAGAUUAAUUGAUGGGGUGCAAGCUCCUGAUCGAAGUCCCAGUAAACGGCGGCCGUAACUAUAACGGUCCUAAGGUAGCGAAAUUCCUUGUC
rnacentral:rRNA from 1 species